rnacentral:rRNA from 1 species
CCCUUAGAUGUUCUGGGCGGCCCGCGCACUACAAUGGCGCUUUCAGCGAGUUCCUAUGUUGAAUUUUCCUGGGCAUUCUUGGAAGCGGCGUCUUGACUUGGGAUAGAUCCUUGUAAUUGUUGGUUUUGAACGAGGAAUUCCUUGUAAUCGCGGUUGAUCAGCUCGCGUUGAAUACGUCCCUGCCCUUUGUACACACCGCCCGUCGCUCCUACCGAUGAAUCGUCCGGUGAAGUUCACAGAGUGGCGGUUCGUGGAGUUGCUCGCGAAGUGAAAUGGACCUCACGAUUUAGAGGAAGGAGAAGUCGUAACA